rnacentral:rRNA from 1 species
GGAAUUUUGGGCAAUGGGCGAAAGCCUGACCCAGCAACGCCGCGUGAGGGAUGAAGGCCUUCGGGUCGUAAACCUCUUUUCUCAGGGACGAUGAUGACGGUACCUGAGGAAUAAGCCACGGCUAACUACGUGCCAGCAGCCGCGGUAAUACGUAGGUGGCGAGCGUUGUCCGGAUUUACUGGGCGUAAAGAGCGCGCAGGCGGUCGUACAAGUCGAAUGUGAAAGCCCCCGGCUCAACUGGGGAGGGUCAUUCGAUACUGUUCGACUCGAAGGCAGGAGAGGGAAGUGGAAUUCCCGGUGUAGUGGUGAAAUGCGUAGAUAUCGGGAGGAACACCAGUGGCGAAGGCGACUUUCUGGCCUGUUCUUGACGCUGAGGCGCGAAAGCUAGGGUAGCAAACGGGAUUAGA